UACGAGUGUCAUAUUUGGCACACCUUGAAAUAUUCGUUCAUCCCAGUACCCGCUUCUCCACCGCCUUUUUGAAUGCUCCCAUAUCACUAUCUGCAGCGCUCCAUUAGCAUUAGAAUCAACUCCCAUGGAAAAGUUCCCUGGUGAAGGAUCAGUUGCAGAUUUCCAAGAAGUGAAGGGCUUUUGCUCUCCUGAAGAAGCAAGAAUUCUCAUGUUUGGCAAAAAAGUAUCGGUGGGAUGUUUGAAGCUUUCCCAGUAGAUCGUUUUAUUGUCACUGCUCAAAAGUUUGAGAUUACCUCCAUUUUCAAGAAUUGCUACUGCGUCGCCAGAUGGAACUGAAGUAUUGCUCAACCAAACUGAAAUAUUGUUUCCAUCUUUAACAGUCAAAUUUCCAUCUUUACCGAAGGUAAAGACCCCUUCUGUAUCAAAGAUUG
rnacentral:misc_RNA from 1 species